UCACGCAGUUGCGUCCCAGCCGUCGACGAGGACGGACCCUUGUCGCUCGCGGCCCCGAAACUAUCGUACAAUAAACAUUUAAACAAUUCACAAGUGUACCAAAUCGAUUCGAAUUUUGUAUAAGUACUAUUUUAGUGAUGGGAAGUGUUAAACAGAGCGCGUACAUCGAUUUCGUACGAUGACCAAAACUUUUAAGUUGGGGAGAACGGAAAAAGUUGUGGUGCUGAAUGCACUGCCGUGUACAAAAAAUGCGUGCUUGUAAUGUGAUGGCCUGAUGGGAUUGCAGUGUGGCCACUACAGUGUAGAUAGUGAUGUGUACUGUGAUAUAAAAUUUCGGCAAUCACGUAGAUGAUUGCCAUUCUUGAGUGUGAUAUUAUUAGUUUAUUAGUUACCAAAGAUUCCUGAUGAUCUUGUACAUUAGUUUGUGUUUCAUAUUGGUAGUUUUAGCUGAUCCGUUGCCAGGCAAACACGUACCGCUAGAAAGCUAUGAGAGCGAAUUGGAGCGGGAGCACGCGCUUCCCACGUCCGUCCCUAACGCUGACAUACUCAAGACUAACAGCAAUCCGACGUACCAUAAGCCGAGGCCACCGCAGCACCACGGCGCUGCUCUGCUGGCCGGGGUGGGGGGAGGAGGGGCGGUCCCCUCGUACGCUCCCCCCGGCAGAGCCUUCUUCACACCCCCUCUGCCGCCCGAGUACAGAAACCCCUUCGCUGACAAGCCUACACUUAGAGGCACAAACACAGAUGGGAACAACUAUCUCAACAGGCGGCCUAUCCCCCCGCCCUCCCUCGGGCCAGGUCACGACAGGAUACCUAUCAGACCUCCUGGACAGGAGACUUCAUCGCCCCAGGUGCCAGCCCCUCCGCCGGCACCGCCCAUGCCACCGGCGGGAAUCGAACCCCAAAAGAAGAAGGCGCUUAACACGCCUAGCCAUAAGCCGGAUGAAUUAGACAGCGACGUUAAACAGCCGGGGACGGAUCAGGCGAACUUCACUGACUUCGUGCCGAAUUCGCUCAACAUCCCGACCAUAUCCAGGAUACUGUCGGGCUCCAAUGGAAGAAAAGAGGACAUCCCAGAUGUUCUCCUAAGAACAGUUACUGCUAAACCUCAACACAACCAAGAGAAGACUUCAAAGAGUGAUAUCUUCGUCACAAAGGAAGUAGGAGUCACGUUGAGCGACUCAAACAGGGAUUCGUCAACCGAAGGAUCGGUUUUAGCAGUCCUAGAUCCAGAAAUGAACAAUCUAGAUAGGCCUUUAAUUGUAGACCAGAAUGGAGAAACAAAUACGAGGAGAAAUCUUCAGUAUGCUACUAAUAAGCAAACAGAAGCGAACGAUAGCAGAAGAGAUGAGUACACUCCUGCUACGACUAUUGGUUUCGAGCUUAAAGACCCCGAAAUGUCGACAGAGAGGUACCACAAUCUAGCGAAUGUGAAUUCGGAUAAGAAAAUCUUGAAGCAAGAUUCAAAGAACUCAGGGCCGGUCCAGAGGCCAGGAGCGGCUUGGCCGUUCGCUUGGAACCUCCACAUAUACCUAGUGACAGUCAUGUUCACGAUACUAGCUGUCUACUCCAUCUUCAAGAUAGUCUGCUACAACAAAUACACACAUUUGUUCACGCAGUACUAUUUCAUAAUACUCCAUUUGAUUUUGGUCCUUGUAUGUCUCCUAAGAAUAUUCUACAUGUGUUACGAUCCGUAUAAUAUCAACAAUUCCCUUCACAAAUUCAUUAGUGAAAUACUUCUUCACGUCCCUGAAAUAUUCCUUAGCAUAGCUUUCGCUUGUAUCAUACUAUUCCUCCUAACAAAUAGUAUUAAUUUUAAGAAUACAUGCUGUUCAUUCCUUCUACGACCUAGAACUAUAAUUUUAGGAGGCAGUCUACACAUACUGUCCUGCAUAAUGUUGCAUAUCUUUGAAAGUAGUAAUACAAUAAAUAGAAAUACGCAGGGCGGCGAAAAGAGGGUAUUAGGUCUUACAUGUCAGAUUAUAUUUAUAAUAGUAUGCCUAACACUAGGUCUCUGCUAUUUAUAUGUAUAUAAAAUGCUCAAAACUGUUUUACAGAAAAAGAGUCAUACGUAUAUUAAUGGUUUCCAAAAUCUGCAGCACGCCAUUCAAAUAAAAUUAGCAACUGCGCUACUUUUUAUCUUGAUGGCAGCAUUGCAGAUUUUCGGUAUCUUUGGAAUAAAUCAACAUAACAUGACCAAGUUCGACUGGUUGCAAUGGGGCUACCAGUUCUCUCUGAGGCUUCUAGAGGUAAGUAUAGUUGCGUUAAUCUCAUGGGUCAUAAGUCUGAAAGUUGGGAUAGCUCUGCAGCAUGAAAAGGCUGACGGUCACAAAAUAUCAGGCCUUGGUCUUUUCGCUUGCGGAGCUGGUUCCAGCAACGAACAAUUCGAGUCAGACUACCCUGCGAUUUGCAACACAAACACCAACCUCCAUACCUACACGAUGAGGACUGGAAAGCCAAUUUACGAGACAACUGGCCACCAUCCAGCCAUGCCUGAUCCAUGCUGCGGACCAGGGAUAGACCAUCAGAGAUUCCAACUUAACACCUUGACAGGAAACUGCGACAACAACUCUGGGACUGAGAACUACUCGGGCCAUAGUUCUAUUGCAAACGCAGGCCACAGUAGCUCUACGGAAUCUAGUAAUGCGACUUCCAGCCAGGGCGUUACUAACCACCUGAUCAAACACCAUCCGAACAUGGCUGGGUAUAACGGCAUAGAGUCUGCGUCAGACGACCACUAUUCGAACUGCGAUCCAGCUAUACAGUCCCUUCAGGGUGAUGAUCCCUUAGACCACGAAUACAACGUCAUCCAAUACGGAAGUAACAGUGAUUUUAUCAGAGACAUCAAGAACCAAAAUUACAAUGCAGGGUCUAACCGCAGUUCACACAACUUCAAGCACAUGUCUUAUGACAGAGUGUCGUCUAGAACUAAUAGCAAUCCUCGGAAAAAGCAUAGAGCUAAGAACAAGAAUGUUCAGAACUGUAUGACGAUGGGAUAUGACUCCGCGAUUGGUCAUCAUUACCAUCAGCCGCAUACGCCUGAUGAAUAUGGCAAUUACAAUACGGAAAAUGCCUCUUACCACGCUUCUGGCAUCCAGACUUUGAACCCUAACAGAAGUUACAGUAACGACCCGUGCCAACAGAUCAGGAGUUCGCAGCGUAGAAAUUCGCCGUCAACCUCCAUGGUCAACUCUAGCGGGAGCCAGAAGCGUGGUAAAGGGAAUGGAUUCCCCGAUAGGCCUAAGUCUACUGACUUGUAUGGGUUUUCAGAAGACCCCAACGAGAGAGGGUACCCCUGUGCGUUAGGAGGGACGCCUCAACCAGCUCCUAGGAACUGCAGUUACGAGGCUUCGUACUCCCAACCUCAGGAUGAGAUCCCGCCAGAGGCUGAGGGGAACAGUAUGCUGGUGGCUCAAGACGGUUUCCUGAGGAUCCGUUCCAUGAAGGAUCCGUCUCCAAACCCUCAGCCUUCGCAUACCUGAUUUACCAUAAAUCUGUCGUACACGACAGAACUCAGUUUUUGAUAAAAUAAUGACUGUCUGGCUAUAUUAAGUGUCAAGUUUAUAUUGAUAUUAUAAGUAAACACUUGAGCCAGUAAACUCUUAGUGUGAUGCAUUUAAUUAUGCUCAUUAAAUGAAUGACAAACACGACAGUGAAAAGUGGUGAGUUAAAGUAUGCCUGAAGAAGGCAAAACACGCAUUUUAAAGCUAUUUUAUUUAAGUAACUUAAUUAAACUUACACUGUACAGUUCAUAUUGAUUUGUUUUAAUUUCUCGACUUACUUAAUUUCUCUGAGCAAAUAUUUUUACGUGAAUAAACGUACUAUUAUGAGAAUAAUUUUGUAGCCAUGAACCAUUUGACUUUAACGAAUUAAAUCAAUGUAAAAUUGUAAAUGUUAGAUGUAACACGACGUAAUUAAGAUAAUAAAUUGUAACGGCCUUUUGUAAAUAGCUAACUUUUUAGUCAAUACGGUCUAUGUAAAAUAUAUCUUCUGAGAUUUCGUUUGACAAGCGUCGUUUGAAUUCUACUGUAAGCGUGUAACUCAUUCUGCAGAGUUAUACUGAAGUCUGCAUUUUGCGUUGCAGCUCGAAAUUCGAAUAUAAUUUUCCACUUAGACUUAAGACACUUAAAGUUACAGAAUCCUAAUCCGUUUUAGUGUUAAAUAAAGAAUUAAAUGUAUGUGAUAUCAGUAAACAUUUUAUUUGAAACAAUCUGUCCAUAUUUAAUGUUAAGAUUAUUAUCAAAAUAAUUCUAAGUAUUUAGUACAGUUUUCAACAUUGGUAAUAAUGUUGCAUAUUGUACUUUAUUAAUUUUAGAGAUAAUUUUAAUAAAUGAUUGCAAAAUGGUGAUUGAAAUAACCUGGUGAUUUUAUUGAAAUUAUCUUUAAAAUGAAUUUUUGUGUUUUGUAUUCUGUUAUGUCUGAAUGUCUAUGACCAUUACAAUUUUAUAAAAAAGAUUUAUAUCAGUUCUAAAUAUCCUGUGUCCCUCAUCAUAUCCAUAAAAUAAUAAAUUGUCAUAAUUAUAAUUGCACUGUUGUAGUUACAUGUAAAUUAUUUAGCAGGUGUUGAAAUCUCUGUACGAAUUAAAUAUGUUUUAGCCCGAUCAUCUUAAUCUUACCAUAUUAUAAUUAUCAUAAAUAAUAUUGUGAUAUAAUAAUCUGAAUUUUCCCCAGUCAACACAAUGAAAUAACAAGUGCAAAGACUAAAAUAAUAAUAGAAAUUGCAAUGAUUAUAGUGAUGACAAUGCAUUCUGCAGAGUUGUAAUCAUACUGCGGAGUUUUAAUAAUUCUGCAGAGUUCAUCCGCAUUUUAUUUCAAACAAAUUAUCUAAGCAUAAACAUUUUUUCUAUUCCUCUAAAAAUGUUUUACUGUUUUCACUUGUAAACUCUAAUGCACGGACUUCAUGACUUGCCAUUUAUUAAAAAAAGAAACCUUUUUGUAUCAGUUCAAUUCAAAAGAAAUAAAGUACGUUAAAAGCACGAUUUAAAAUAUAUGUUGAUAUAAAAUGACGCCUGUGGAACAGUAACACUGGAAAAAUAUAUUAAUUUCGGAAAAUAUAAUUUGAAACGAUGAUCAAAACAUUUUUUUUCUAAAUAUAUUUACUAUUUUCUGGGUUUAAAAAUAUAAUGUCUUUCAGUGUUACUAUCCCAAACAUUUUUGUUAAAAAUAAUGAAUGUUGCCACUACAAUAGAUAGAUAAAAAUAAUUGUAUAAAUUAGACAAAAGAGCUAAAGAAUAUUUAUUGAUAAAAAAGUACCAUCUCACUUGAAUAUUGUAACGUUAUUUUGAGAUAAAAAAAAAUGAAAUAAAUAAUAAUGUUGCAUUAGAAAAAAUGCUCAUUUAAUUAAUUCCUAUGUAAAUAAAUGUAAUGUCUAAGUACAUAUAAAGUAUGGUGAAAUAGCAGCGACCAUACAUGCCACUUUUUAAUUUUAUUUUUUACUCUUAAGUGUAUAUAUGUUGGAGGUACUGAAGUACUCCUAACGAAAUAACAUUGAAUUUGUUGUAAAAUAUAGCGUUUUUUUUAUAUUCCCAAGACUGUACGUAUUAAUCAUCUAAUAUGUAAAAAUAAAUUCGAUAAACGGUAUUGAAAA
rnacentral:misc_RNA from 1 species